rnacentral:rRNA from 1 species
CCCCACUUAAAACCACCUUUCCAGUUGACCGGUUUGGUUUGGCUUUGGAGUGUUUGGUGGUGUUGGAACCAUGUUUGGGUUUGGUGGUGGGCGUUGGAUUGUCCGGGGGCUUGGAGCCCUUCAGGGGGGUUUUGGGGGGGGGUUUGCCAUCCUUUUUGGCGUUCCAACCUUUUUAAACCCAUUUGAUUGAAAACUGAACUAUACUGUGGGGACGAAAGUCCUCGCUUUGAAACUAGAUAACAACUUUCAGCAGUGGAUGUCUAGGCUCGCACAUCGAUGAAGAACGCUGCGAACUGCGAUACGUAAUGCGAAUUGCAGGAUUCAGUGAGUCAUCGAACUUUUGAACGCAUAUUGCACUUUCGGGUUACGCCUGGAAGUAUGUCUGUAUCAGUGUCCGUACACUAAACUUGCGUCUCUUCCGUCGUGUAGUCGUCGGUUGUUUGAUUGCAGAUGUGAGGUUGUCUCGCGAUGUACCUUUUUUUGGAUAGGUUGCGAGUCCCUUUAAAGUCGGACGCGUGUUUUUCCGUUUUGUGCUUGAUGGGGUGCGGCUGCGGCCGUGUCUGCUGGCGGGUCCGGUGACCUUUGGCGAUGGCAUGAGAGUGGAUUGCUCGAUUUGCGGUAUGUUAGGCUUCGGCUUUGACAAUGCAGCUUAUUGGGUGUGUUCGCUUGGCUGUUGCUGUAUGGGUGAGCUGGAUGGUCGGUGGGUGCGUUGUUGCGUGUCGUUUUCAUUGAGUGCGUUUCGGUUGUCGUCGCCAUUUGGGAAUUUGUGUUUUCGUAAGAGGACAUCUCAUUGGACCGAAUCGACAAGUCUGUCCAGG